AACGAACGCUGGCGGCAUGCCUAACACAUGCAAGUCGAGCGAGAAUUCCGGGGGUGGCGGCGGAAGAGUGGGUAACGCGUGGUAACCUGGCGUUAGGCUGGUCAUAACACCCCGAAAGAAGUUCUGCUAACAGCGAAUAUGUUCGGACGAAGGAUUUAUCGCCUGUGGAUGGGCCCGCGUGGGAUUAGCUAGUUGGUAGGGUAAGUGCCUACCAAGGCGACGAUCGAUAGCUGGUCUGAGAGGAUGAUCAGCCACACUGGGACUGAGACACGGCCCAGACUCCUACGGGAGGCAGCAGUGGGGAAUAUUGGACAAUGGGCGAAAGCCUGAUCCAGCCAUGCCGCGUGAGUGAUGAAGGCCUUAGGGUUGUAAAGCUCUUUUCCCCGGGACGAUAAUGACGGUACCGGGAGAAUAAGCCCCGGCUAACUCCGUG
rnacentral:rRNA from 1 species